rnacentral:rRNA from 1 species
CCUACGGGUGGCAGCAGUGGGGAAUAUUGGGCAAUGGCCGCAAGUCUGACCCAGCAACGCCGCGUGAAGGAAGCAGGCUUGCGGGUUGUAAACUUCCUUUAAGGGGGAAGAGCAGAAGACGGUACCCCUUGACUAAGCAUCGGCUAACUCCGUGCCAGCAGCCGCGUUAAUACGGAGGAUGCGAGUGUUAUCCGGAUUUCUUGGGUUUAAAGGGUGCGUAGGCGGUUUUUUAAGUUGGUGGUUAAACGUCGGGGCUUCACCUUGAUUUGCCAUUAAUACUGUAAGACUCGAGUUCAGAGGAGGUAGGCGGAAUAAGUGAAGUAGCGGUGAAAUGCUUAGAUAUAACUUAGAACUCCGAUAGCGAAGGCAGCUUACCAGACUGCGACUGACGCUGAAGCACGAGAGCGUGGGUAGCGAACAGGAUUAGAUACCCUUGUAGUC